GUUACUUUUACUUCAAUUUCACAGGCAAGCUAUCCUGCCAACAGUUCACUACAGUCGCACCAAAAAGGCUUUGUGGAUAAAAAACCCCCCGCUGCUGAACCAAGACUCACUUUGUCAGCCCUUCCUUUGUAUUAGCUGCUGGCCUUAACCUAGCACUUUAACCUGGAAGUGGAGUUUUCUCGUCCUGCUUAGCUUUCUUCACCUUUUGACCCCGGUGGCCAUCUCUUUGAAAGAAAUAUAUUUUUGAUGACCUGCUGGGUAACGCCGCUUCACUUCAUCAAGUCCCAAGUAGACACUCAUCCGCCCACCACUGCCACCGCUGCAUCCACCCCCUUUUCUUCAAGCAUCCCAUUUCGCCUCCUGUAGCUGAAAGACGGAGUGCCCUUGCAGGUACCGGAAGAAUGGCUGGUGGGUGGACAAGAACUGUGCCUGUUUUCUGCUUGGUGGAAUGACCAGUCAGGCAAGAGCUAAUCCCACUGAUUCUUCAUCACAUUCGGAUGGGAUCCAAAACAUUGAGUAAUGAGUGGCAGGCCUACCGCCGGGCACUGCCUGCAUUUGGCUCCAGGCAUUACACAGUCAACUACAGUGUGGCAUAUGUCAAUGCUGAAACAGGCUGCAACACUCAAGACUUUGAAAGGGCCUGGAGGAGCUACAAGGAGACCAUCAGGAGACUCUGGGGGGAAUCGCACCUCAUAAGAUGAGGUAAGUGUCUGCUAAGAGAACACCUGAUUGUGAUCCAGUGUAAUGAAUGGCUCGGUCAAAAAACACUGUAAUGAUUCAUUAGGACUUCUACUUCACUUUAUUGCUAAGCACUACAGAUAGAAAGAAAUGAUGCCACAAAGGCAACACAUUGACAUAUUUGGGGUUGAUGUUUUUUGUGUUGUUGAUUAUUCCUUUGUGGAUUUAAUUUUUACAUUUUCAUUAUCAAUUGGUAAAGUGAACUGUGCCUCUAAAGUACCCCUACCCCAACAUUGUGAAGUUUAUAUCAUUUCAUUUUAAGAUAAAGUUUUAAUUUAUGAGUUGUUGUACUAACCUUAGUUAGUGUUCAGUAUGGUGAUCAGACAAAAUUCUGUUUUUAUUAUAUACAGUAUCUAUGACCACUCUCUAAUCAAAUAUUUAAUGAGGCCAAAGUAAUGUUGCUUUUAUAAGCCGUUUUACGAUCAUUAACUAACAUAAAAUAUAUCAUUACUAAUAAAUUGAUAAUUAUUAUUCAUUUUACAAUUUCUUGUAGAGUAACUUCAGUUUAAUUAUCAUUUUACAAUUAAUGGUGAUGAUAAAAGAUGGUUAUUGUAAGAUAAGAUUUGUGUAGAUGCAGCUGAACACAAUUACUAUCUAGGUGUGUAUGUGUGUGCCAGACACUUAAAGUUAUUUUCACAAGAUACUUCUGAUGUUACCAAUAUGUUUGCACAUUGUUCUCAGAGAGUCAAAAAAGAUGUUUAUCCAGCUUUGGUGGCUGGAAAUCUGUUGAGGUUUAUUCACUGAAGCCUCCCAUCAGGGUGAUAUUCAGCCAAUAAAAAUGAUCUCUGAUAAAGAGAAGAAAAGAAGAAAAUGGACACCACAGGAGUCUGUGGUUACCAAAUGUCAACUCUGUGCAGUCUGUAAAUGAAAACUGUAGAAUGCAAACUGCACAAUCAAGCAACCCAUUGUGCACUUUCAUGUAGUUAUUGUGAAAAAUAUGAAAAGAAAGUUGAAUUGUUUGUACUUUUUUUUUUCAUUUUGGCCUGUCUUCUCCCACAGUUUCGGAUUAAUACACUCAAAUGCAGUUUAUCUACAAAACAAAGUAAUUUAGCUCUUCAUCCUUGGUAACACCUUCAAAUCUCGGCUUUGGCUUUUU